CUUCCGGGGACCGAGUGGCAACCGCAGCCGCUGGAGGGUGAGUGUGUUCUCUUAGCCACUCAUGUAGAUCGCGGAUUCUCUCUGCCACCGAAUCUUUUCUUCCGAGGGUUUCUGAACUUCUUUGGGGCACAACUCCACCAUUUCACUCCCAAUUCCAUUGCCUACCUCGCCACUUUCGUGUCUCUGUGCGAAAACUUCCUGGGUUGUCGGCCGCACUGGGGUCUCUUUAAGCACAUAUUCACUUGUCGCUCUCAGACGGUGAAAAAGGCGAGUCCGGAUGAUGAGAGGACCAAGGUUAUCCAGAUGUGUGGG
rnacentral:rRNA from 1 species